GUUGAGGACAUACCCUUUUUGAAAUCCCUAUCUGUCCCUCUAAGUCUUUUCCAUCUUUUUUCACAGCCAUCAUCAAGCAAAAGAGAAAUUCGAGCAAGAAAAUUGCCUAACUCUGCAACUCGCUCCCUCUCUCACAGCAUAGGUGUUAGUUGGGACUCUGCAACUCUUGAUGGCUUCCUGCUCUGGAAAGAGCGCUGACACCAGAGAUGGUGGAUCUACUUUACCAGA
rnacentral:misc_RNA from 1 species